GUUUUCGUAGUGUAGUGGUUAUCACGUUUGCCUCACACGCGAAAAGGCCCCCGGUUCGAACCCGGGCGAAAACA
rnacentral:tRNA from 1 species